CAAGAAUUCAUGAAAUUGAGCAUUGGAUUUGGCAAAUCAGACAGGAAUUCAUGAGGUUGUGCAUUGAAUUCAUAAGCUGUACUCAUCACAGAUUUUUUUUUUUAUUUGUUCAAUUGAAUGUAUCCACAGAGCAAUAGGAAAAAGAACAAGCCAAUAAAUAAAACAAGCCAAUGUAUUCACUAAUUUUUUUCAAUUGGUAUCUCAAUGCAUUCUGAACAGGAAAAAAAAACAAGCCAACUACAUGAUUCUCACCAAUCAAUCAAUACAUCAUAGAA